rnacentral:lncRNA from 1 species
CACGGUGGAGAUGGGCCCCAGGGGAUGAAUGCACAGAGUGCCAUGUCUGCCAAAAGAUGUAGCCAUUGAAGAGAUAAUUCAGGUUUCGCCAGUAGUCUCAGUUACUACUUUGCUUCCCUUCUAUACUGAAAGAGCAAGAAGAAGACAGGAACUGGGGGAGGGAUAGCGUCUCCAGACACCACAGCUGCAGCUUUCUGGUGGCCCCAGCACAGGCUGGCUUCCAGAAGCUGUGCAGGGUGGAGCCGUGAGAAUGCACGCUUCCGGGCCUAUUUUGCUGGCUCGCCUUCUGUGACAGCAUGAUCCAUGGGCGGCCCUUUGCAAGACACAGUAAAAGCCAUUGGCCCCGGCUGGUGCUUCGGAGGUGCUGGAAGGGGCGUGCUAACUGAUCGCUAAUAUACACUGGGAAAAAUAGACAGAAAAAGGUCUUUUAUGCCCAUGUUGCCUUUUGAUUCUUGAAAAGGGGAAGUGGGGACCAGUGGCCAGGAUCAGAGGUUGCAUCUUGGUCACAACUUAAACCUCGCGUGGCCGGCUGAGAGGUAGGGCAUAGAAAUCCUUUGUUCCGUGCCUGUGGGGAAGCUUCCUGAAGGAGCUGUCCCCUGCCAGGGCUGAAUGCGCUCGCCUCUCCCCACACUGUCGCAGUCAUUGGGGACAUUGAUUUCCCAGCCCCGACCUCCUGAACUUGAAUUUGCAUUUUCUGCUUGUCCACCUGAUGCGGCACUAAUGGGCUCUGAGUUUCCUCAUUUGCUGUAAUCUCACCUCACUCUCACUCACCCAUUUCUCCUACUCUGGGAAGGAUUUAGUUCUAAAUCAGAAGUCAAAAGUAGUGGAGCCAAAGCAAAGUGAGUUUCAUAAGCUCAAGAAAUGUUCAGUGUGACCUCUCACUGUUAAGUAGGUUUUGACAUCUUUGUAGCCAGGGUGCAUGGCUGGAUUUUUUCAACUGAAAUUCAUUAGAAAUAAUUCUUCUAUAGCUUCUCUGUCAUUUUUGUUUGAAAUUGUGGGAUACUCUACAUAUUUAAAAUAUAAAAAUUUCACAUGUACAGCUUGAUGAAUUCUAACAAAGUGAACACACCCAUGUAAACUAUCACCCAGGCUAAGAUGUGCAUUAUAACCCCAAGAAGCCUGCUUCAUAUCUACCCAGUCAUCAC